rnacentral:rRNA from 1 species
UACGUAGGGUGCGAGCGUUGUCCGGAAUUAUUGGGCGUAAAGAGCUCGUAGGCGGUGUGUCACGUCGUUCGUGAAAACCUGCAGCUUAACUGUGGGCGUGCGGUCGAUACGGGCAUCACUGGAGUUCGGCAGGGGAGACUGGAAUUCCUGGUGUAGCGGUGAAAUGCGUAGAUAUCAGGAGGAACACCGAUGGCGAAGGCAGGUCUCUGGACAGUUCCUGACACUGAGGCACGAAGGCCAGGGGAGCAAACGGG